rnacentral:rRNA from 1 species
GGCUCAAGAUGUGCUAAGCGUCGACGUAGAUAAAAAGGCGAUUGGGUGAGUAACACGUGAGUAACCUGCCCCAGACUCUGGGAUAAGCCUUGGAAACGAGGUCUAAUACCGGAUAAGCGGCCCCAUCGCAUGGUGAGGGUUGGGAAAGAUUUUUUGGUCUGGGAUGGACUCGCGGCCUAUCAGCUUGUUGGUGAGGUAAUGGCUCACCAAGGCGACGACGGGUAGCCGGCCUGAGAGGGCGACCGGCCACACUGGAACUGAGACACGGUCCAGACUCCUACGGGAGGCAGCAGUGGGGAAUAUUGCACAAUGGGCGAAAGCCUGAUGCAGCGACGCCGCGUGGGGGAUGAAGGCCUUCGGGUUGUAAACCCCUUUCAGCAGGGAAGAAGCGAAAGUGACGGUACCUGCAGAAGAAGCGCCGGCUAACUACGUGCCAGCAGCCGCGGUAAUACGUAGGGCGCAAGCGUUGUCCGGAAUUAUUGGGCGUAAAGAGCUCGUAGGCGGCUUGUCGCGUCUGCUGUGAAAGCACGAGGCUCAACCUCGUGUCUGCAGUGGGUACGGGCAGGCUAGAGUGUGGUAGGGGGAGACUGGAAUUCCUGGUGUAGCGGUGGAAUGCGCAGAUAUCAGGAGGAACACCGAUGGCGAAGGCAGGUCUCUGGGCCACAACUGACGCUGAGGAGCGAAAGCAUGGGGAGCGAACAGGAUUAGAUACCCUGGUAGUCCAUGCCGUAAACGGUGGGCACUAGAUGUGGGGACUAUUCCAUGGUUUCCGCGUCGCAGCUAACGCAUUAAGUGCCCCGCCUGGGGAGUACGGCCGCAAGGCUAAAACUCAAAGGAAUUGACGGGGGCCCGCACAAGCGGCGGAGCAUGCGGAUUAAUUCGAUGCAACGCGAAGACCUUACCAGCUUGACAUAUACGGUCUAUCCCUAGAGAUAGGAGUGAUUUUUCGCGUAUACAGUGUGCAUGUGUCGUCAGCUCGUGUCGUGAGAUGUGGGUGAGUCCGCACGACGCAUCCUCGUUCUAUGUUGCAGCACGUAU